UACGUAGGGGGCUAGCGUUGUUCGGAAUUACUGGGCGUAAAGCGCACGUAGGCGGACAUUUAAGUCAGGGGUGAAAUCCCGGAGCUCAACUCCGGAACUGCCUUUGAUACUGGGUGUCUUGAGUGUGGAAGAGGUGAGUGGAAUUCCGAGUGUAGAGGUGAAAUUCGUAGAUAUUCGCAAGAACACCAGUGGCGAAGGCGGCUCACUGGCCCGGUACUGACGCUGAGGCACGAAAGCGUGGGGAGCAAACAGG
rnacentral:rRNA from 1 species